rnacentral:rRNA from 1 species
UACGUAGGGGGCUAGCGUUGUCCGGAUUUAUUGGGCGUAAAGAGCUCGUAGGCGGUUUGGUAAGUCGGAUGUGAAAUCUCCAGGCUCAACCUGGAGGGGUCAUUCGAUACUGCCAUGACUAGAGUUCGGUAGGGGUGUGUGGAAUUCCUGGUGUAGCGGUGAAAUGCGUAGAUAUCAGGAAGAACAUCGGUGGCGAAGGCGCUCUGCUGGACCAUAACUGACACUCAGGGACGAAAGCUAGGGGAGCGAAUGGG